CCUACGGGGGGCAGCAGUGGGGGAUAUUGCACAAUGGGGGAAACCCUGAUGCAGCGACGCCGCGUGAGUGAUGAAGUAUUUCGGUAUGUAAAGCUCUAUCAGCAGGGAAGAAAAUGACAGUACCUGACCACGAAGCCCCGGCUAACUACGUGCCAGCAGCCGCGGUAAUACGUAGGGGGCCAGCGUUAUCCGGCUUUACUGGGGUUAAAGGGGGCGUAGACGGUUAUGUAAGUCUGGAGUGAAAGCCGGGGGACCAACCCCGGGACUGCUUUGGAAACUGUGUAACUGGAGUACAGGAGGGGCAUGCGGAAUGCCUGGUGUAGCGGUGAAAUGCGUAGAUAUCAGGAGGAACACCGGCUGCGAAGGCGGCCUGCUGGACUGAAACUGACGUUGAGGCUCGAAAGCGUGGGGAGCAAACAGGAUUAGAUACCCCAGUAGUC
rnacentral:rRNA from 1 species